rnacentral:lncRNA from 1 species
UUUCGUCAUCAUUACUUAAACAUUUGGUUCCAUCCGAAGCAGGGUGUGUUCUUCGGGAAGUUCACAAAGAUAUUCGUGACAAUUAUUUAGCCCGAAGUUGUUGACCUACAAAGCACUUCGGUAGCGAUAUUCUUGAAAGAACUGGGGAUUCAGCACAGAAAGAUUUUGGGUAUUCUACUUUGGACCCAUCUCCCACUAUUGAGGAAUUUCGGGCGCCGUCCGAAGCUGCAAAUGUUGUUUGGAGGGUUCAUGUGGAUAUUUGUCAGCCAAAUGGUUCGAUCCCACAUCAGCCACCAAAAGGCUAUAUUUCGAUUUUAUCUCCUAUACCUCUUGCUGUCUGGGGGGUAGUCGUACUGGGUCCAUUGUCUAGGGAUCAGGUUAACAAACGCCAGCUCAUGGGAUCGAAGUUUAAAACAUUCAUAAGGAACUUCCGUAGCUCAUCCAUAUUCUGACAGGCACAACAAAUGCCACCUCGGAGUUAGGAGGAUCGGGAGGACUCGCUGACCAUUCGAUGGUAGCCUCUUCGGCAGGUGGUCACUUUGGCAUUGUCAGGCCCUUCGGGGUAGACAAUUGUCGCCACUAUUUGGCAUUGUCAGGCCCUUCGGGGUAGGCAAUUGUCGCCAC